rnacentral:rRNA from 1 species
UACGUAGGGGGCGAGCGUUGUCCGGAUUUAUUGGGCGUAAAGCGCAUGCAGGCGGUCCUGUAAGUUUGGAGUGACAGUUUCCGGCUCAACCGGGAAAGUGCUUUGAAAACUGCAGGACUUGAGGGCUUCAGAGGGACACGGAAUUCCGGGUGGAGUGGUGAAAUGCGUAGAUAUCCGGAGGAACACCGAAGGCGAAGGCAGUGUCCUGGGGAGCACCUGACGCUCAGAUGCGAAAGCCAGGGGAGCGAACGGG